UUUUAUGUUCACUAAUCCGAAUCAGGCGAUUGAAGUUUGUCGAUUUAGAAGUGUUGUUACAUUGUGCGCAAUUAUCUGUACAUUUCAAAAUACAGGAAUCAAUGUCUUUAGUUUUAGAUGGGUGUGAACCAAUCGGUCUCUCAAGAUGCUAGAGCAGUUAAAGACGACCAACAGAGGUUCAUUAAAUAGGCUAUGCCUAGAGAUCUUUAUUCAGUAUUAGGAAACAAAAUGUGAAAAUUAACCAAACUGGAUUUCAGAGAAUAUAUGGCUGUAAAUUCCACAUAUGUUUCGUUCAUAAAGUAUUCUAAUUAAGAAGGAUGACUGAUUAUCAUUCCCACAUUAAUCUUAUUCUUAUGCCUAAAGUUAGUCAAACCUACCUAUAAUUCCCAAACGUAAACUAAUUCUAACAUAGAUUGUAAGGUUAACUUAAACUUAACCCCCAAGUCAAAAGUUAACUUUGUCAUCAUGGGACCAACAAAAGUUCCUGAUGGGGGCAGAGGACUUCAGGUCCUAAUCUUAAUUGUAAAACAACAUUACACCCAAAAUGACACGCAUAAACAGCUCCCAGCAUUCCACAGCAGCUCUGCUACAGUCUUUCCUGCAGAGGGAGACAAAAAACAUCUGAUUUAGGGGAUGAGACAACAUGACCCAUGAAACCCAACAGACAUUGGCUGGAAUAUCAGAAACAGCCCAGUCUUGUCCACCUUCAGCCCAGAGGGGUGGUCAAAUUACAAUGUAACACUUUUGUUUUUGCCCCCAUUUAUCAUGAGCUGAACUCCAAGAUCUAAGACUUUCUCUAUGUACACAAAAGGCCUAUUUCUCUCAAAUAUUGUUCACAAAUCUGUCUAAAUCUGUGUUAGUGAGCACUUCUCCUUUGCCGAGUUAAUCCAUCCCCCUCACUGGUGUGGUACAGUGGGGAGAACAAGUAUUUGAUACACUGCUGUUUUUGCAAGUCUGUUAUUUUUAAUCAUAGGUACUCUUCACCUGAGUGAAGGAAUCUAAAACAAAAAUCCAGAAAAUCCCAUUGAAUGAUUUUUAAGUAAUACAUUUCUAAGUAAUUCAUUAAUUGGUGUCACUCACUUUUAAGUCCGGACCAGAUUCUACAGACAGCAAAAGGCUGUUUGGGUCUUCUACUGCUUCCUCGUCACCAGUGGGAAACCAGCUGAGAUGAAUGUCACAAGACACAAUGAAUGGGAAUUGAUUUAUUUAUGAUGUUUACAAAAGUAUAUGUGGCCUAAGUUGGUCCAGCGGUUUAAUAGAUUUUCUAAUUCAGCUUCUGGAUAGUUUGUUUCUCAUUAAGGUGACACUUAAGAUGCCAGGACCAAAUGCUCAACAUCCCGAUAAAUACAGAGGUACAUUUUAAUUAAUUAAUGUAUAUAUCUCAGUGCAAUUUGACAUUAUUUCUGUAUAAUAAAAUCAAAUAUGCUUUACAAAUUUUUAAAACUAAAAAUAUUAAGGAAUAUGAAUAUUGGGACCUGUCUGAAUGUAGAUUUAGUCAAACUACCUGGAGGUGAAGAGCGCCUUCUCAUUGAUCAUGUUGACUCUGAAGAUGUUGACAGCCUUGUAGAUGUCAAUCACAGCCUGGUACUUCUCCACAAGAGACCUGGAGAGAGACACUUCUAAACAUUCUAUUGGUGGCUGUUUGUGGGAUGUUUUUAGAUGCUUUCAGACUGUGAAAGCACAAUUAAUGAUGCACUAGAAUCACAAUAAGUUAAACCAAUUUAAUGGACAUGCUCGAAUAGCCCCAGCUGUAAUGUUAUAACACCACCAAUGUACUGUACUUGCAAUAUGUAGUUAUAAUCCGUUAUAACACCACCAAGGUACUACACUUGCAAUUUGUAGUUAUAAUCCGUUAUAACACCACCAAGAUACUGUACUUGCAAUAUGUAGUUAUAAUCUGUUAUAUUACCACCAAGAUACUGUAUUUGCAAUAUGUAGUUAUUAUCCGUUAUAACAUCACCAAGAUAUAGUACUUGAAAUAUGUAAUUAUAAUAUGUUAUAACAACACCAAGAUACUUUACUUAUAUGUCGGAGUCUUGCCUAUCUGCUUGUCCGCGUGAUCCUCUCCACUCCAUUUAGUGGGCAACUGGUAGCAGGGGCAUGGGAAGAGGCUUAGCCAGGGGAGGAGGCAGGGGCUGGAGCCUGGUCUGGCCUGCUCCCCCAGGGGGAGGUGCUUUGCCAGGUAUGGUCUGAGCAUCGCUCUAGGCAGCAGAGAAACCACCCAGUAGAUUGGCUCCUCAUUCACCACAUCAUGGAAACUUUGCAGGUACUGACGAAUGGCUGGAGAGGUCUGGAUGGAGGACAGGUUCUGUAAGGAGAAGAGAAGGAAGAAAAGUGUAGACGAGGAGGAGGAAGGAUGAGGAAAAAUGAUCGGGGGAGAAAAGGAGAAGAAGAAGAGUGGUAUGAGGAAAUAGGAAACAAACACACAGAUAUAAUACCACCUCCUGAAUGGACUCUACCUGACAACCACACACGUUUUGUAGGGAUAUUUUCAUAAAAUGCUAUUUUACGUUAACCUGAUAAAGAAUAGACUCAUGUGAUCACUUGCAUAUUCAUUGGGUGUUAAUUGAUGAAACGUUUAACCAGGGCUCAUAUUUCUUUUCCAGACAGUCUAAUUAUCUUAGAUUUUUCCAUAUUUAAUUGUUAAGAGAGACUGAUGAAGAAUAAGAUGCACAGUUUGUCAAAAGACCUGCGUAACAAGGUAAUGGAACUUUUUACAGAUGAAAAAGGAUAUAAAAAGAUAUCCAAAGCCUUGCAAAUGCCAGUCAGUACUGUUCAAUCACUUAUUAAGAAGUGGAAAAUUGGUGGAUCUCUAGAUAUUCCAGAAUUUUAAAAUGAGUCGGGAACAUGUUACCAAAGCAGUUUUUAACACUCUAAAAGUAUGUUUAUUUAUCAUUGGCACUUCUCUUUUGUCUCCGAGGAAAAACACAUUCUGGGUGAUUUGGGCAGAUUACAGGAUAACCAACCCUGCAUGUAACUUAAAACACUGCUCUAAAACACAGAAAUCACCGGACAUUCCCAAAGGGCAUGUAUCAAAAUGCCUUUAGCUAUUUGGCAUUUCCAACAGAGAUCGUAUCUGCCAAUACCCAUUUUAUAAAACCUAGAAGAAGUAUAAUAAUAUCUGUUAAAAAUUCUGUAUUGCCCCUAGCUUCUCUAAUGUGCAACCCAUUGUUUGACAGAAUUGAAUCCCAUGUAUCAUCAUCCAUUGUACAUCCUAAAUCUCUUUCCCAUAUUACUUUCAGACUUUUACUUGUAUUGUUUUUAACCCAGGGGCAAAUAUUAUACCAUUUGGAGGCUUUGCACAAUAGUGGAGGUAGUAGCAGAAAGGCCUCUAUAGGAUUUUUCCCAUUUAACAACUUAACACUUCCUUUCAAACAAUCUCUAAUUUGAAAAUACUUCCAAAAGUGGCCAUGACCCUCCAAGUUAAAUUUCCUUUUGAUAACAUCAUAUGACAUAAAUUUGUCUCCAUUCAAUAAAUCACCUAUAGUUCUAAUACCUUUUCUUUGCUAUUGUGUCCAGUAAAUAGUCUGUUUAUUAAUUUUAUUUUUUUGGUUAUGCCACAAGGGGGCUUAUCUUUGCACAUAUGCAACAAUUAUAUAUUUUUUAUGUACCUCUAACCAUACCAUUUUAGAAAAUUUCAAGAUAGGAUUUUGCAUUUGAUUCCCUUUAUUUGAAUUUUGUGAUAAAAUAUCUAUUGGUGUAACUGGAGAAGCAAGCUCUCGUUCUAUUAAAAUCCAGUCCAAGUUGAUUUUCCCCGCCCAAAAUAACCAGACUAGACAUCUCAAUAGAAAUACUGUAAUGUUCUACAUUGGGCAGGGCUAACCCCCCUUCUUUUUU
ensembl:lncRNA